rnacentral:rRNA from 1 species
GAUGAACGCUGGCGGCGUGCCUAAUACAUGCAAGUCGAGCGAACAGACGAGGAGCUUGCUCCUCUGACGUUAGCGGCGGACGGGUGAGUAACACGUGGAUAACCUACCUAUAAGACUGGGAUAACUUCGGGAAACCGGAGCUAAUACCGGAUAAUAUAUUGAACCGCAUGGUUCAAUAGUGAAAGACGGUUUUGCUGUCACUUAUAGAUGGAUCCGCGCCGCAUUAGCUAGUUGGUAAGGUAACGGCUUACCAAGGCAACGAUGCUUAGCCGACCUGAGAGCGUGAUCGGCCACACUGGAACUGAGACACGGUCCAGACUCCUACGGGAGGCAGCAGUAGGGAAUCUUCCGCGAUGGGCGAAAGCCUGACGGAGCAACGCCGCGUGAGUGAUGAAGGUCUUCGGAUCGUAAAACUCUGUUAUCAGGGAAGAACAAAUGUGUAAGUAACUAUGCACGUCUUGACGGUACCUAAUCAGAAAGCCACGGCUAACUACGUG